AAUCAACGCUGGCGGCGUGCCUCAGACAUGCAAGUCGAACGCGAAAGUCCCCUUCGGGGGACAAGUAGAGUGGCGCACGGGUGAGUAACACGUAGGUAAUCUACCUUCGGAUGGGGAAGUAACAACCGGAAACGGUUGCUAAUACCGCAUAAUGCAGCGGCACCUAAUGGUGACAGUUGUUAAAGCGGGGGAUCGAAAGACCUCGCGUCUGAAGAGGAGCCUGCGGCGGAUUAGCAGUUGGUAAGGUAACGGCUUACCAAGGCGACGAUCCGUAGCCGGCCUGAGAGGGCGGUCGGCCACACUGACACUGACAUACGGGUCAGACUCCUACGGGAGCAGCAGUCGGGAAUCUUGCGCAAUGGGCGAAAGCCUGACGCAGCGACGCCGCGUGA
rnacentral:rRNA from 1 species